UACAGAGGGUGCGAGCGUUGUUCGGAAUUAUUGGGCGUAAAGCGCGUGUAGGCGGCCUAGCAAGUCGGGUGUGAGAGCCCUCGGCUUAACCGAGGAAGUGCGCCCGAAACUACUAGGCUUGAGUACCGGAGAGGAUGGCGGAAUUCCCGGUGUAGAGGUGAAAUUCGUAGAUAUCGGGAGGAACACCAGCGGCGAAGGCGGCCAUCUGGACGGAUACUGACGCUGAGACGCGAAAGCGUGGGGAG
rnacentral:rRNA from 1 species